UUUUUACGUAAAUUAAAUGAGAAAAUACCUUUUUCUUUUCUAGGUUUCUCCUUCUUCUCCUUCUUGGGUCGGCUCGCCGCCAGCGCGCGGGACUCCUGCCUCUGCUUGAUCGUCUCCGAUAUAAAGUUGAACAUUAGUAUGCCUCAUGUCCUGUCGUUCCUGCCCUGCCAACUGCACGCGGGAGGACUUGAUGCUGGCUACUGACAAUGCCACUUCAGUAGCCAAAUACUAUAUAAGUCUGCCAUCGAGUCAAAAAGAAGAUAUUAAAUUCAAUGGAACAAGCGUUUUCCUACUUCAAUGUGACGUCACUAUGUGGUGGACAGUUACCUGGAAGGAGACGAGCAGCGAGAGCGCGGCCACCCGCAGCAGCAGCGGCGCCGGCCCGGCCAGCCCGAAGUAGAACGUGAGCACGCCGAGCACCAGCGAACACAGCCGCACCGACACGAACACAGCGCCGUUGAUCACGCUCAAAACUAAAUAAAACAUACCACAUUACACCAUGAGGCAUUUCGAUAGGAUACCGGUGGACGAGUCUGCUAAGCCGUACUUCGUCGCACUCAAAAUAUUGACGCUCCCGCUCUAAUUCUACAAAUAGCAACCUACGCACGUGCUAAUCUGCACCUAUUCAGGACGAGAGGUGAGAAUGGGAGGCAAGGAUUGCGAUACGGGAACCGCCUUAAUACCAUCCAGCAUCGACUGGCGAAGGCAACUCGGACCAUCCACGCCAUGAGCCCGCACGUUUACAACAGGCUUCCGGAAUCCCUUAAAGAGGCUCGAAGCACGGCAUCUUUCAAAGUCCAACUAAAACGAUGGCUCGUCGAACAAUCGUUCUAUAGCUACGAUGAAUUUAUAAAUCGGAAUUGAUGGAAUUAUAUAUUGUUAGUAAUUACGAUAAAUAUAGAUAUUAUUACUAAUUUAUUACGUAUUGAUUUCAGUACUUAUUAAUUUAUUUAUUUUUAUUGAUAUUAUUUUUAAGACUAUUGUCUAAUGCAUUCUGUAUGAUGUAUAAUGAAUAUUAUGAAUAAAUGAUUUGAUUUGA